UUCUAUAUUUGCGGGUGCCAAAAGUCUUUGAAUAUAAGCUCUAAAGUCUUGUUAUAUCCAAAAUAUCCUACUGCUAGAAAGUCAUGAUGUGCUUCAAGAACACGUAAAUAUAUUUCUUCUUUUGGAAUAUAUAAGGGUCUUUCAAAGUAGAGGAAGUUGUUUUUGAAUUCAAACUUUGAAACUUUGAAAUAUCAUGAAACUUAG
rnacentral:lncRNA from 1 species